rnacentral:rRNA from 1 species
UCAGUCGACUCCUACGGGGAGGCAGCAGUGGGGAAUAUUGCACAAUGGGGGAAACCCUGAUGCAGCCAUGCCGCGUGUGUGAAGAAGGCCUUCGGGUUGUAAAGCACUUUCAGUUGUGAGGAAAGUUAGUAGUUAAUACCUGCUAGCCGUGACGUUAACAACAGAAGAAGCACCGGCUAACUCCGUGCCAGCAGCCGCGGUAAUACGGAGGGGUGCGAGCGUUAAUCGGAAUUACUGGGCGUAAAGCGCACGCAGGCGGUUUGUUAAGCUAGAUGUGAAAGCCCCGGGCUCAACCUGGGAUGGUCAUUUAGAACUGGCAGACUAGAGUCUUGGAGAGGGGAGGUGGAAUUCCAGGUGUAGCGGUGAAAUGCGUAGAUAUCUGGAGGAACAUCAGUGGCGAAGGCGACUCCCUGGCCAAAGACUGACGCUCAUGUGCGAAAGUGUGGGUAGCGAACAGGAUUAGAUACCCUGGUAG